UACGUAGGGUGCGAGCGUUGUCCGGAAUUAUUGGGCGUAAAGAGCUCGUAGGCGGUUUGUCGCGUCGACUGUGAAAACCUGGGGCUUAACUCUGGGCCUGCAGUCGAUACGGGCAGACUUGAGUUCGGUAGGGGAGACUGGAAUUCCUGGUGUAGCGGUGAAAUGCGCAGAUAUCAGGAGGAACACCGGUGGCGAAGGCGGAUCUCUGGGCCAUUACUGACGCUGAGGAGCGAAAGCGUGGGGAGCGAACAGG
rnacentral:rRNA from 1 species